AGUGAACGCUGGCGGCAGGCCUAACACAUGCAAGUCGAGCGGCAGCGCGGGGCAACCUGGCGGCGAGCGGCGGACGGGUGAGGAAUGCAUCGGAAUCUACCCUGUCGUGGGGGAUAACGUAGGGAAACUUACGCUAAUACCGCAUAUGACCGAGAGGUGAAAGUGGGGGACCGCAAGGCCUCACGCGAUUGGAUGAGCCG
rnacentral:rRNA from 1 species